GCCCGCUUGGCUAAGUGGUAUAGCGUGUCACUAGUAUUUACUGGAUGCCAUGACAAGAUCAGCGGUUCGAUUCCGCUAGUGGGCA